CUAAUAUUCCACUUACACUAAUGAUCCAUCGCCUGUCAGGAUCGCCUUCGGGUGGCGAAACAAAACUCUCGUAGCCUGAAAGAGAGAGCAAUAAUUGCGGUACAUCUGCCCACCUUUGGAAGCAGAUAUUGUCAAGACACCU
rnacentral:sRNA from 1 species